rnacentral:rRNA from 1 species
AGUGAACGCUGGCGGUAGGCCUAACACAUGCAAGUCGAACGGCAGCACAGUAAGAGCUUGCUCUUACGGGUGGCGAGUGGCGGACGGGUGAGGAAUACAUCGGACUCUACUUUUUCGUGGGGGAUAACGUAGGGAAACUUACGCUAAUACCGCAUACGACCUACGGGUGAAAGCAUGGGAUCUUCGGACCUUGCGCGAUUGAAUGAGCCGAUGUCGGAUUAGCUAGUUGGCGGGGUAAAGGCCCACCAAGGCGACGAUCCGUAGCUGGUCUGAGAGGAUGAUCAGCCACACUGGAACUGAGACACGGUCCAUACUCCUACGGGAGGCAGCAGUGGGGAAUAGUAGACAAUGGGCGCAAGCCUGAUCCAGCCAUACCGCGUGUGUGAAGAAGGCCUUCGGGUUGUAAAGCCCUUUUGUUGGGAAAGAAAAGCAGCAGGUUAAUACCCCGCUGUUCUGACGGUACCCAAAGAAUAAGCACCGGCUAACUUCGUG